CACGUAGGGCGCAAGCGUUGUCCGGAAUUAUGGUGCGUAAAGCGCACGUAGGCGGCUUUGUAAGUUAGAGGUGAAAGCCCAGGGCUUAACCCUGGAAUUGCCUUUAAGACUGCAUCGCUAGAGUCCGGAAGAGGAGAGUGGAAUUCCUGGUGUAGCGGUGAAAUGCGCAGAUAUCAGGAGGAACACCGGUGGCGAAGGCGGCUUGCUGGGCCUUACCUGACGCUGAGGAGCGAAAGCGUGGGGAGCGAACAGG
rnacentral:rRNA from 1 species